AUUCCUAGAAGCAGCUUAGCCUGCCUCACCUGGGGCACCUGGAUCACCACCUCACAGGCUUUGUGGGAACGGAGUCCCUUGAAUUCACACAUGUUGUCCAAGUAAUUGGUUUUCCAGAGUGUCAGCAAUGCUUCUUAAAUGCAGGGGAUUCUCCGUUCCGGAGAAAACAGUUCCUGGGCAAGCAAGGACAGAUAGAAAGCAGCAACAAGACCUGUGUCGACAGCCCUUGACCGUCUCUGUUUUAGGACCGAGGUCGUUGCCUAAAAUCGGGAGCAACUGGGAGCGUGAAGUGACCAUUUCAUUGCCAUUCCUGUUCAUGAACAAGUAGAGGCCCAGGC
rnacentral:lncRNA from 1 species